rnacentral:rRNA from 1 species
CCUACGGGAGGCAGCAGUGGGGAAUAUUGGUCAAUGGGCGCAAGCCUGACCCAGCAACGCCGCGUGAAGGAAGAAGGCUUUCGGGUUUUUAACUUCUUUUCUCAGGGACGAAGAAAGUGACGGUACCUGCGGAAUAAGCCACGGCGAAAUACGUGCCAACGGCCCCGGUAAUACGUAGGUGGCAAGCGUUAUCCGGAUUUAAUGGGUGUAAAGGGCGUGUGGGCGGGACUGCAAGUCAGGUGUGAAAACCACGGGCUCAACCCGUGGCCUGCAUUUGAUACUGUGGUUCUUGAGUGCUGGAGAAGCAGGCGGAAUUCCUGGUGUAGCGGUGAAAUGCAUAGAUAUUAGGAGGAACACCAGUGGCGAAGGCAGUGUGCCGGACAGCAACUGACGCUGAGGCGCGAAAGCGUGGGGAGCGAACAGGAUUAGAUACCCCGGUAGUC